UCACCCCUCAAGCUCAGCUUGGUGUUGGGGCCUGCCAUCACGGCAGCCCCUAAAAUCAGUGGCGGUGCCCUCAGGCUCUAAGCGCAGUAAUUUCUCUCGCUACAGACCCCUGGAGGCGCCCGCCAGCAACCCCCCAUUUUUUUAAU
rnacentral:misc_RNA from 1 species